AGCUCCGAGUAUACACUCUCGCGUCAUACGGCUCCGUCCCGGACCUCCCCUUUCCUUUUACUUCGUAACAGAGAUCCAUUCUAUCUCGUAAUCAUUCUCAUUCUAUUUUGAGCAUAGCGCUCCUACUCCUUCUCCUUUUUCAUCGUCGUUGGUCCUUUUGACAUAACAUUCUCGGCCGCCUCCGGUCCGGUAGGAAAGAAACCUGUAGCCAGUGACUAGCUCCGCUAUGGAGCUACGUGUAUACCGCCACGUCGAGACUCUCUUUUGAAAGCCACCGGCUUGUUGAAGAGGGAAAGAUCACUCCUAAAUGCAGCCGUGAUCUUAUAUACGAUACCAUCAGACGCGCCCCUCGC
rnacentral:lncRNA from 1 species